rnacentral:rRNA from 2 species
AGAGUUUGAUCCUGGCUCAGGAUGAACGCUAGCGACAGGCUUAACACAUGCAAGUCGAGGGGCAGCGGGGGAGUGAGGCUUGCCUUACUUUGCCGGCGACCGGCGCACGGGUGAGUAACACGUAUGCAACCUACCCUUUACAGCGGGAUAACCGGAAGAAAUUUCGCCUAAUACCGCAUAUACUCCUUGGGAGGCAUCUUCCGAGGGGGAAAGAAUUUCGGUGAAGGAUGGGCAUGCGUCGCAUUAGUUAGUUGGCGGUGUAACGGACCACCAAGACGACGAUGCGUAGGGGUUCUGAGAGGAAGGUCCCCCACACUGGUACUGAGACACGGACCAGACUCCUACGGGAGGCAGCAGUGAGGAAUAUUGGUCAAUGGCCGAGAGGCUGAACCAGCCAAGUCGCGUGAGGGAAGAAUGUCCUAUGGAUUGUAAACCUCUUUUGUCAGGGAGCAAAGUCACCCACGUGUGGGUGUUGGAGAGUACCUGAAGAAAAAGCAUCGGCUAACUCCGUGCCAGCAGCCGCGGUAAUACGGAGGAUGCGAGCGUUAUCCGGAUUUAUUGGGUUUAAAGGGUGCGUAGGCGGGUUAUCAAGUCAGCGGUAAAAUCGUGGAGCUCAACUCCAUCCAGCCGUUGAAACUGAUGAUCUUGAGUGGGCGAGAAGUAUGCGGAAUGCGUGGUGUAGCGGUGAAAUGCAUAGAUAUCACGCAGAACUCCGAUUGCGAAGGCAGCAUACCGGCGCCCGACUGACGCUGAAGCACGAAAGCGUGGGUAUCGAACAGGAUUAGAUACCCCUGGUAGUCCACGCAGUAAACGAUGAAUACUAAUUGUGUGCUCCGAAUGAGGAGUGCGUGAUACAGCGAAAGCGUUAAGUAUUCCACCUGGGGAGUACGCCGGCAACGGUGAAACUCAAAGGAAUUGACGGGGGCCCGCACAAGCGGAGGAACAUGUGGUUUAAUUCGAUGAUACGCGAGGAACCUUACCCGGGCUCAAACGCAGGAGGGAUGUUUUUGAAAGGAGGCAGCUCUACGGAGUCUCCUGCGAGGUGCUGCAUGGUUGUCGUCAGCUCGUGCCGUGAGGUGUCGGCUUAAGUGCCAUAACGAGCGCAACCCCUACCGCCAGUUGCCAACGGGUAAAGCCGGGAACUCUGGCGGGACUGCCGGCGCAAGCUGUGAGGAAGGCGGGGAUGACGUCAAAUCAGCACGGCCCUUACGUCCGGGGCGACACACGUGUUACAAUGGCAGGUACAGCGGGAAGCCACUUGGCGACAAGGCGCGGAACCCGAAAACCUGUCUCAGUUCGGAUUGGAGUCUGCAACCCGACUCCAUGAAGCUGGAUUCGCUAGUAAUCGCGCAUCAGCCACGGCGCGGUGAAUACGUUCCCGGGCCUUGUACACACCGCCCGUCAAGCCAUGGAAGCCGGGGGUGCCUGAAGUGCGUGACCGCAAGGAGCGCCCUAAGGUAAAACCGGUGACUGGGGCUAAGUCGUAACAAGGUAACCAA